GAUUUCUGGGAGUUGCAGUCCAAAAAGGGACUUUUGUAAGCUCUGCCCUUUCCUGUCUGGCCUUCCUACCUCACUUCCCGAGGCCGCUGCACGAUUGUAACUAGGAGCAACGCGGAGAGAAAUGAUCCAGAUGAACCGGACCAUACAAGAAUGGAUAUACUCGCUGAUUCUUCUCACUAUUGUGUUGCUUUCAUGGGGAUAUGUUAUUUACGCAACACGAAUAGCAGCCAAGUGGCAUCUGAAGGAACUCUACCCCCUGCAAGCACAAGAUCUUUGAGGGAAACUAUGGCAGAAUCCUUCUACAGAGAUGCCAAAGCAUUUAAGGAUAGUUCCAGCAAGAGUCUUUAAAUUUCACAACAAAGACCCAAUAUAAAAUGAACAUUGUGCUUGGAAUUAAUAGCCGUUUUUAAGACAGCUUUAACAGAGGAACACCAUUUACUCAGCUCUUAUACGAAUACAAUUUAGAGGAAAGAUGCCAAAUGCUGUCAUCCAAAAAGGAUUACUCUCAAACACAACUCCACUAGUCUUGUACAUCAAAUAUUCCAUGUCUGAAGAUCGCACAUUAUCUUACUGCUAAAGCAAGAAAUUACUAAGCCAACAACCGCGCAAUGGUGAUUUCGACUGAAUAUUUCGUAAGAAAAUUUCAUUUGUAUAAAGGAUUUAAUGGUGAAGAAACAUGUUUUGGUAUCUGAAAGAGUCAGGAUUUGCUGUAUGGUAUUAUCUAAUAUUUAAAUGGUUAGAUCAACAAUCCAAGGAGAAAUUGACACUGAGCAGUAACAAAGCGAGGAAUUAAAACUGAAAUUUGUUUAAUUGUAAAUUUUGUAUUGUUUUGUAAACUGUAUAUUAAACAUUUAUUGAACUACGAUUUACCAAUGAAGUGUAAAUUGAGCUUCUUUCCUUCUUCAACUCUUGUUCAAUACAAACUAAAUUGGGCUCAUUCAAUCAUAUCUUACAGUAAAUCAUAUUUUACUGUUUCUUUGACUUCUUGUUUUAAUGUAUAUUAUUAUCUAUUGUAUUGUUUUAAUUGUGUUAUGAUAUGUUGUUUUUAUAUUUUAUUAUAUUGUAUUGCUCUGGGCAUGGCCCCAUGUAAGCCGCCCCGAGUCCCCGUUGGGGAGAUGGUGGCGGGGUAUAAAUAAAGAUUAUUAUUAUUAUUAUUAUUAUUAUUAUUAUUAUUAUUAUUAUAUCUCUAAAUAGAUAGCGUUUGAUAACCAGAUUCCUCGUGUUUUAUACUUGCUGAGUUGGUUUAAAAAAAGAUAGUUACAACCUUUCCUUUUUUGUAUAAAAUGUAAGACUAGCUACAUUUUUUUUUUGCUAAAUCAGCCAUGGCAAAAGUUGGACUGAGUUGACUAAAUCUCAAUGUUACAGUAGAAAUGUUGGAUCAAUGGAACUUGGAAGACCUACCUUAAUUCAGUGAGCCUAUUCUAGUCCAAGACUAGCUCAGUAGCUGCUUUUGUCCCAAAAAAAAUCACUCUUUGUUUGAAUGAAGCAGCUACUUAAGAGAUUAACCUUGGCUUUCUGCAGCUAACACAUUACUUGACAAUUUUCCAAUGUUUUGCAUUAUGUAUUUCUUUACUUUUUGAGUAAGAGGGCAAUGCGAGGGCAAUGCAGCAACAAACUUUUAGUUCAUAACGAAAAAUCCAAAAAAAGCAAUCCUGAAGUUGAAGCCAUUUUUAUUCUUAAAUAAGAUUCUGAGUUCUGUAAGUGAAUUUUAGUAAUCAACACAAAUGCCUGCAAGUUUCUGAGUUCUUGAGCGUUUAAUGAUGACUGUCUGGUAUUUCUAAUGGAGGAACAACUUCCUUUGUCUCCAGAAUAGUGUCACCCUAAGAAAUUAAAGAAAUGAUGUCAUCAAAAUCAAGUAACUAUAUGAAACAUUUGUCUUACCAAGACAAAAACAGCAAUUUCACAUGCAGAACAUUUAGGGGCUAUUUUUCUGUGUAUAAGCAAUUUUUAGUAUACAGCACUCUUGUGAGUUUCCUUUUUUUUUUUUAACUGAAUGCUCAUUUUAUAUUGCAAUACUACUCUCAUAACCUCCAUUUCACUUACACAUACCCAGGGAAAAUGGUCUCUGUAGGAUUUUUCUAGGUGCUCCAGGUCUCCCAAAUUUCUCUGGAAGUUGCCACAGAGCUAUGUUUGGAAGACCUACCAAAUUCCUCAAAAGGAUACCUCUCUAGCCUCUCGAACACUAUGAUAUGCUGGGACCACAAGUAAGCUAAUUUGGUCAUAUUUGUGGUUUCAGGUAAUUACAGUCUUACCGGGAAGUAAUCAACCACAGGUAUGGUGGUCUAAUUGCAACCUAUUAACAUCUCAAAUGUGAGGAAUAAUCAAACACACAGAAAAAAACAUUGUUCUUGAGCUGCAUACCUACUGUUGGCAGGAGAUCUACAUAUUUAUAUAGUUUGCAGACUUUGGACUACUAUGGACAGGCCUCACUCCAUUUUCCAUCACCAUUGCUCUAGACUCCUUCAUGCCUUGGCCCAGCAACGGGAAACAGUCCUUCCCUCCAUAGUCUAGUUGCUAUUGCAGUGGUCUGGGCAGCCAGCAUUUGUGGACUUAAUACCCUUCACCACUACCAUUCCCUUUUCUUUAGAAAGUUAAUCUCUAUAAUCAGAUAUCUAUAGAUUACCUCAAAGACAACUAUGUUUAAAGGACAAGCAGAAAACUGGAAGAAAGAAGAUCGGAAGUCAUCCAUUCCCUCCCCCCCUC